GGCUACGUCCACACGUACCAGCGUAUUUUUGAAACCGCUGAUUUUUCUAUGCGUUUGCACCUUUUGUCCACACGUAAUGUAUGUCUGGCCGUACAUUGUGUUUGUAUUUCCAGGCGCAUUUCACGAAGCAGAACGCAGUCUUCAGAGAUAUCCACGUGAACGCUGUGAUACGUCUGACCUUCAGUCCGAAGCUGAAACUCAGACCAGUCUUAAAAGAAAGCACAAACCAAAUCCCCUGUACACAUAUACGGACUCAGAGGAUGAGCAGCCUACAAAAAAACGGUUUCCCCAGGCCCCUCGAGUGAAAAUACCAGCCCUCACCACUCCGCAGUCUGCCCCCCAGCCCACUGAUAGCAACCAUCAUAAUGCCCCACCCAGCUUCCGGCACCUUUCGCCACUCCGGCACAAACCGACACAGCUUUGCGAUCUCGCCAGCAUGCAGAGUCUGAUGUCUUCCCUAUAGAUGAUUCCAGAGACUCUGUGAAGCCACUAUUACAAGGUGAGACGCUUUGCGUUGAUUGGUGCUGCUGGACCACACUGGAGGUGCGAGUCCGCCGUGUAAUGGUUUAUGCCAUUACAAAGGAGCUGGCCUCUGUACUCAACUGGGCAGGGAAAAAAUACCAAGGACCAGACAAAGCAAAAAAGGGCAUUUAAAGAGACAGCGCCGUGCAGAUGCAUAUUUGAUGGCCUGGCGCAGCAGGUAGGGGCGAACUCUAUGUCUGAGUUGGUCUUUGCUCAAGCAGUCCAGAAAUGGCUCAGAUAUGCUCCAGGUCGUACGGGUGGCACGCAGGACGCACAUCAUCCAUCCCCAUCCCGGAGUAAAUAAUAAAAAGUGACGUGAAACAUAGAAAUGUAAAUAGGAAACUUUGUCUUUUAAUAAAGUACUUUGCAAAUGA